UUACGGUCAAAUCAUACUGUAAACGCCGGUACUUGUUCGAUCACCGAAGUUAAGCAGUGUCGAAUCAGGUCAGUACUUAGAUGGGGGACCGCCUAGGAA